rnacentral:lncRNA from 1 species
CUACUCUCUGCCUCCAAGGUUUUCCCCAAAUUUUUUCAUUCCUCUCAAAUUUUGCCGGUCUUCCACAUUUUCUUUGCCUCCAAAAAUUUUAUCCCUAAAAUUAUUCAUUCUCUCCCUUUGUUGCAUUUGUUUAGUUGGCCCAAACCUAAUUGAAACUCUUCAAUUGAAGCGAAUUUCGGCUUCAUCUGCAGUUUGAAUUCUGAGAUUUUUGGCUUCUGCUAUAGAUCAGUUGCUGUGAAUUGCUGCUUUAUCUACAAAUUGAUUUCUUUGAUAUUGUCUUCUAGGUAUGCCCAUUCCAAGAUUAUAUAUUUAUAGAGUUUUACUACUACCUGUAAUUUCUUCGUAUGAAUUGCUGCUAAAUUCGUUAGUAAAUGUGUUGUUCAAGAAAUUUAAAGUAGAUGCUGGAGACUCUAGUGUUUUAGCUGUG